GAUGAACGUUGGCGGUGCGCUUUAUGCAUGCAAGUCGUACGGGACUAUAGUUUUCGGAUUAUGGUUCAGUGGCGGACGGCUGAGUAACACGUAGGUAACUUGCCCGUGAGCGGGGGAUAACUUGCCGAAAGGUAGGCUAAUACCGCAUGACAUGGAUUUGCUAAAGCAGAUUCAUCAAAGUCGCAAGACACUCGCGGAUAGGCCUGCGGCCGAUUAGCUAGUUGGCGGGGUAAUAGCCCACCAAGGCAGUGAUCGGUAGCUGGUCUGAGAGGAUGUCCAGCCAGAUGGGGACUGAGACACGGCCCCAACUCCUACGGGAGGCUG
rnacentral:rRNA from 1 species